UUGGAAAGUAAAAAUCGUAACAAGGUUGAUUCUUCGCACACUUGCGGAAGCCUUUGCAGCUGGCAACAGCUAGGCCGAGCGACUAUAAAUGGAAAAUCGCGCCGUUGCAAGUCAGCGAUUUGCUGGCGACACUUUCGAAUUGCGGGGAACUCCUAAAGCUCUUUCCACCAAACCAGCCUGGGAAACCAGCUGGUGGCCUGUGUGAAACCACAGGGGAUGGUAACAGUGAAAGAGAUGCGCGUAGCCACGCAAAAUGGACAAUCCGCAGCGAAGCCCCUGCCUGGCCACCGCCAAAAUCGGGGAACGUUCACAGACUAAGUGGAAGUGGGUGGAGCGUUGCGACGCUCUGCUUAAGAUAUAGUCGGGCCCAUGUGGAAACACGUGGGAUAGAUCUGAACCAGAUCUAGAAAGCACCGUUCCGUAGGUGAACCUGCGGAAGGAUCAUUACAUAUUGAGCGCGGCCGGGGACCCCAAGCGCCAUCGUUUUGCCUCUGGCAGGCGUAACGCUUGCCCGGCUUGCGUGAAUAUUCACCC
rnacentral:rRNA from 1 species